rnacentral:rRNA from 1 species
GAAAGUUACGCUAAUACCGCAUACGAACUAAGGUUGAAAGUGGGGGAUCGCAAGACCUCAUGCUCAUGGAGUGGCCGAUAUCUGAUUAGCUAGUUGGUAGGGUAAAAGCCUACCAAGGCGACGAUCAGUAGCUGGUCUGAGAGGACGACCAGCCACACUGGAACUGAGACACGGUCCAGACUCCUACGGGAGGCAGCAGUGGGGAAUUUUGGACAAUGGGGGCAACCCUGAUCCAGCAAUGCCGCGUGAGUGAAGAAGGCCUUCGGGUUGUAAAGCUCUUUUGUCAGGGAAGAAACGGUGAUCGCUAAUAUCGGUUGCUAAUGACGGUACCUGAAGAAUAAGCACCGGCUAACUACGUGCCAGCAGCCGCGGUAAUACGUAGGGUGCAAGCGUUAAUCGGAAUUACUGGGCGUAAAGCGUGCGCAGGCGGUUUUGUAAGUCUGAUGUGAAAUCCCCGGGCUCAACCUGGGAAUUGCAUUGGAGACUGCAAGGCUAGAAUCUGGCAGAGGGGGGUAGAAUUCCACGUGUAGCAGUGAAAUGCGUAGAUAUGUGGAGGAACACCGAUGGCGAAGGCAGCCCCCUGGGUCAAGAUUGACGCUCAUGCACGAAAGCGUGGGGAGCAAACA